rnacentral:rRNA from 1 species
UACAGAGGUCGCAAGCGUUGUUCGGAUUCAUUGGGCGUAAAGGGUGUGUAGGCGGCGCCGUAAGUCGGGUGUGAAAUUUCGGAGCUUAACUCCGAAACUGCAUUCGAUACUGCGGUGCUUGAGGACUGGAGAGGAGACUGGAAUUCAUGGUGUAGCAGUGAAAUGCGUAGAGAUCAUGAGGAAGACCAGUGGCGAAGGCGGGUCUCUGGACAGUUCCUGACACUGAGACACGAAGGCCAGGGGAGCAAACGGG